rnacentral:rRNA from 1 species
GACGAACGCUGGCGGCGUGCUUAACACAUGCAAGUCGAACGGAAAGGCCCUGCUUUUGUGGGGUGCUCGAGUGGCGAACGGGUGAGUAACACGUGAGUAACCUGCCCUUUACUUUGGGAUAACUUCAGGAAACUGGGGCUAAUACCGGAUAGGAGCUCCUGCUGCAUGGUGGGGGUUGGAAAGUUUCGGCGGUUGGGGAUGGACUCGCGGCUUAUCAGCUUGUUGGUGGGGUAGUGGCUUACCAAGGCUUUGACGGGUAGCCGGCCUGAGAGGGUGACCGGCCACAUUGGAACUGAGAUACGGCCCAGACUCCUACGGGAGGCAGCAGUGGGGAAUAUUGCACAAUGGGCGGAAGCCUGAUGCAGCAACGCCGCGUGCGGGAUGAAGGCCUUCGGGUUGUAAACCGCUUUCGCCUGUGACGAAGCGUGAGUGACGGUAAUGGGUAAAGAAGCACCGGCUAACUACGUG